rnacentral:rRNA from 1 species
UGGGGAAUAUUGCACAAUGGGCGCAAGCCUGAUGCAGCCAUGCCGCGUGUAUGAAGAAGGCCUUCGGGUUGUAAAGUACUUUCAGUCGGGAGGAAGGUGGUAAGGUUAAUAACCUUAUCAAUUGACGUUACAGACAGAAGAAGCACCGGCUAACUCCGUGCCAGCAGCCGCGGUAAUACGGAGGGUGCAAGCGUUAAUCGGAAUUACUGGGCGUAAAGCGCACGCAGGCGGUUGAUUGAGUCAGAUGUGAAAUCCCCGGGCUCAACCUGGGAACUGCAUCUGAUACUGGCAAGCUUGAGUCUCGUAGAGGGGGGUAGAAUUCCAGGUGUAGCGGUGAAAUGCGUAGAGAUCUGGAGGAAUACCGGUGGCGAAGGCGGCCCCCUGGACAAAGACUGACGCUCAGGUGCGAAAGCGUGGGGAGCAAACAGG